GAAAUGCUGGGAUUAGAGGCAUUAGCUAUCACACUCAGCCUCAUUCAGUCUCCAGAGCACCUGGCACAUUGCUGGACACAUUAAUGGCCACUGAGGAAGUGGCUGACUCAUGCCAGGGCCAUUCAAUGAAUCACGGAGCAGCCAGCAUGCAUAGUAACUAAUACACCUUAACAUCGAGGUUCAAAGGUGAAAAACAAAAAUGGAUUCUCAUUAUAAUAGCGGAAGAAAAACAUAAAUAAUGAUUGUUGCAUGACAGUCUAUUUAAGAUAUUCAUUUCUUAUUUGCUUUUGCUGCUAAAUGGAACGCAAAAAAAUAAAGAUAACAUUUUCCUUCUCACUUUCUACUUAGAAGAACGACCACACUUUUACGUUAAGGUUAAGACUCUCUGAGUUUCUGAAGCCUUGCAGAAGUAAUCUUUGCCUAGCUUUGGGAAGAUCUGACCCACUACAGAUUAUGUUAGAAGUGCCAGAGGAGGAAGACUUCCUGUACCCGUCUGUUAUGGAGCUAAAUCACAUCAGUCACACUGUGACAUGUGAUGAAAAACAUGGGCGCCAUAGUAAGUCAGCCAGAACCCAGAGCAAUGAGUAUGUCUGGAAGGAGGAGACUGCACCAAAGCUAACAUGUGGGCUGUGCGUUGAAGGAUGAGGAGGAAGCUGCCAGUGACAUGGGGGAAGGUCUUCUAGAAGGAGGCUGCAGCUCUGGCAGGGCCAUGGUGAAGUCCCUGCAGGAGGAGAACAAUGCACUGUGGAUUGAGUGGAAGCCUGGAGUCCAUGAGGGGCUAUGACAGCAGCUGUCAUCCUACCUUGACUGAGAAUGGACAAGAUCAGCUCAGCAACAUCAGGAACUGGCUGUGAAGACCUUUCCCAGAGUUGUGGCUUCGAAAAGGAAAUCUAGCUUCUAAGAUGAAUGAUCAAGGGUUUGGCCAAAAUCCAGGUUCAUGAAACUGAAGAAGUAGCUUCACAAUAUCCGGGACAGAAUGGGAGAGAGGGGCAGGAGACAGGCAGGUAUCUUGCCUGAAGAUUGAAGUGAUUCUCACUGGAGAAAUAAAAGAAAUUCCAAGAACCAUCACUUUUGCUUUAAGAGGAGCCUUUAGAGCUGAGUGAGGACAACAGCCCCAUUUUAGACAAGAAGAAACUGAGUCCAAGGAGGUCGAGUGACUCUGUUAAUAUCACACAGUGAGUGACCAAGACUCCCAUCUUGCAGUCCAGUUGUUUUCUACUGUCUUUACUUUGAAAUAAAUGUUGGGAUGCUCUAAA